AUUGAACGCUGGCGGUAUGCUUAACACAUGCAAGUCGAACGGUAGCAUGGUCUAGCUUGCUAGACUGAUGGCGAGUGGCGAACGGGUGAGUAACGCGUAGGAACAUACCUUAAAGAGGGGGACAACUUGGGGAAACUCAAGCUAAUACCGCAUAAUCUCUGAGGAGAAAAGCUGGGGACCUUCGGGCCUGGCGCUUUAAGAUUGGCCUGCGUACGAUGAGCUAGUUGGUAGGGUAAAGGCCUACCAAGGCGACGAUCGUUAGCUGGUCUGAGAGGAUGACCAGCCACACUGGAACUGAGACACGGUCCAGACUCCUACGGGAGGCAGCAGUGGGGAAUAUUGGACAAUGGGGGCAACCCUGAUCCAGCAAUACCGCGUGUGUGAAGAAGGCCUGAGGGUUGUAAAGCACUUUCAGUGGGGAGGAGGAUGCUCAGGUUAAGAGCUAGAGUAUUGGACGUUACCCACAGAAGAAGCACCGGCUAACUCCGUGCCAGCAGCCGCCGUAACAC
rnacentral:rRNA from 1 species